UACAGAGGUGGCAAGCGUUGUUCGGAAUUACUGGGCGUAAAGGGCGCGUAGGCGGCCUUCUAAGUCAGACGUGAAAUCCCCCGGCUUAACCUGGGAACUGCGUCUGAUACUGGAGGGCUUGGGUGCGGGAGAGGGAUGUGGAAUUCCAGGUGUAGCGGUGAAAUGCGUAGAUAUCUGGAGGAACACCGGUGGCGAAGGCGGCAUCCUGGACCGACACUGACGCUGAGGCGCGAAAGCUAGGGUAGCAAACGGG
rnacentral:rRNA from 1 species